AAGGCAGAGCGCGGGCAGACAUUCAGACAUUCAGACGGCCUGUCUGCUGUGCACCGGCUGUGCAGGUUUUUUUCCCCCUCUGUAAAAAUAUCACACCUUAUUUACAAUUCAAUGAGGUGAACUGAGCAAGAGUAACAAAGCCACCCUCCCUCCCCUUCCUCUCUCUCUCUCUCUCUCUCUCUCUCUCUCUCUUGCUUCUCUCACAUGUGCACAUACACUGCUGGGUGCACCAAGAACAAAUAAUCUGAAAAGAGAGUCCAGAUGCUGUAUAAACAGAAUACGCACUUUCUUGCUCUCUUUCUUGGUUUUCUCGAUGCCCCCCCCCCUCAGAUUAAAUGGUAUGAUGGAUGUAGUCAGAACAUGCUACGGCACUCUCUCGCCCACUAUGUUCUCGUGCAUUUCUCUAAUUGAAAAUGACUUGAAAUGAAAAACGGGUCAGAAACCAUAUGGUUUCAAACAUCCAAGGGGUAGCCAGUAAUUAUGUGUCACGCCAAACUGCCGCGAGUUGACGGAUGUAUUCUGACCAAGUUGUACUACAAUACAAAGCGAAGCUCACCCCAGGAAAUGUUGGAAAAACAUCUAUGCCCACAAGGCUUGGCUGGACUGCCGCUUGACUGAGGAAUUGUUUUUGCUUCCAGCUUGUUUGUCGCUUUGUUUACAUUUAUUGUAUUGCAUUAUCAUUUUAAAUGUAUGUAUUUAAUAAAUCAAUUCUUAGUAACAAGACACACACUCAUAUGCAAAUGUGCAUGCAUUCAUAACCAGGAGUGCAUUGGCUAAAGCAGCUGUCCAGAUGUGGGUCGUACAUAUUCAUGUGCGCUGCCGCGGCUGUCAGGGUUGUCAUGGUGAUGUCUCCAGUGCAGUGGAUGCCAGUGAGCGUUUCUCUCUCAUCCAUCACCCUUGGCAAAGAAACUUCAAAGCUGAAUUCGGCUGCUGAGAUAGCAGUAAUGGUGAUACAGAGCUUGGCUUGAGGGAAGAAGGCUUCAGGCUCUUGCUGGAUAUAAAGUCUGAGAGCUUCUGCUAUGCAGACGUGUUUCCCCUCAGCCGCUGGCCCAGGUCAGUAGUAUAAGUACUGAGUAAUUUGAGGGUCAAAGGUCAUGUUGUUGCCUGUCCUGACCAGUGUUUAAAGUGUAUAUGUAUUUUUUUUGUGUGUGUGUGUUUGGCUAUACACUGAAACGGACAGCUUGUUCCUUUUACGUAAUGCAGUACCCUUUACAUAACGUAAAAUUUGGAAGCGUACAAAUAGUCUGACUAGUCUAAACUGAAAGUUUUGCAAGGGUCUCAAGCAGGUGACUG
ensembl:lncRNA